CAAGGUUUCCGUAGGUGAACCUGCGGAAGGAUCAUUGUCGAUUGCGAGAACACGACCGUCGCGCACGUCAACCCUGGCGCCGGGAGGGCGGCUAGCUAGCUGGCUGUCCCCCCGGCCGUCGGCCCGGCCUCCCCGUCGCGCGCGGUGGCCUUGCCGGCACAAAAAUACGGCGCGGAUCGCGCCAAGGAACACGAUAUGCAGAGGCGGCCCGCGGAGCGCUACGGCGCGCCGCUCGCCGCCGACGCAAGAGAUAUUGACAUGAUGACUCUCGGCAACGGAUAUCUCGGCUCUCGCAUCGAUGAAGAACGUAGCGAAAUGCGAUACGUGGUGUGAAUUGCAGAAUCCCGCGAACCAUCGAGUCUUUGAACGCAAGUUGCGCCCGAGGGAUCCGCCCGAGGGCACGCCUGCCUCAUGGGCGUUAGAAGCCCAUCCACGCUCGGGAGCUCAGCCCCCGACGCGGACCGUGGCCCUCCGAGCCCCUUCAUUCGGGGCGCGGUGGGCCCAAGUGCGCGGCCGCCGGAAGGAGCCGGGAGCGGCGAGUGGUGGACUGCUGCGUCCGCCGCCCCGCGCCUCUUCUCGGCACGUGGCCUUACUCGACCCUCGAACGAGGAGCCCUGUAUAAAAAUAGGGCGUCUUCGGAUCGAUACCCCAGGUCAGGCGGGGCUACCCGCGACGGCCGUAUAGCGUACCGCUGUGCGGCCACUUCGGACCGAUACCCCAGGUCAGGCGGGGCUACCCGCUGAGUUUAAGCAUAUAAAUAAGC
rnacentral:rRNA from 1 species